GAGACAGCAGUAGCCGCGGUAAAACGGAGGGUGCAAGCGUUAAUCGGAAUUACUGGGCGUAAAGCGCACGCAGGCGGUCUGACAAGUCAGAUGUGAAAUCCCCGGGCUUAACCUGGGAACUGCAUUUGAAACUGUCAGGCUGGAGUCUUGUAGAGGGGGGUAGAAUUCCAGGUGUAGCGGUGAAAUGCGUAGAGAUCUGGAGGAAUACCGGUGGCGAAGGCGGCCCCCUGGACAAAGACUGACGCUCAGGUGCGAAAGCGUGGGGAGCAAACAGGAUUAGAUACCCGCGUAGUCCCUGUCUCUUAUAC
rnacentral:rRNA from 1 species